rnacentral:rRNA from 1 species
UGUGUAGGCGGGCUAAUAAGUCAGUGGUGAAAUCUCUCGGCUCAACCGGGAAACUGCCAUUGAUACUGUUAGUCUUGAGUUCGGUUGAGGUAGGCGGAAUGUGUAAUGUAGCGGUGAAAUGCUUAGAUAUUACACAGAACACCAAUUGCGUAGGCAGCUUACUAGACCGACACUGACGCUGAGGCACGAAAGCGUGGGGAGCGAACAGGAUUAGAUACCCUGGUAGUCC